UCCCUGAUGGUCCAGUGGCUAAGACUCUGCACUUGCAAUGCAGGGGAUGCAAGUUCAAUCCCUGGCCAGGGAA
rnacentral:tRNA from 1 species